UCAUUUAUUGCAAAUGUGCAUUGGCUGGAAGAGUAAUUGUGUAUUUGGCUGAAAGGAGUUCAAAUUUGGUAUUUUUUGCUUAAAGGAUUUAAAUUUUUGCUUGAAUUCUUAGGCUGUGAGG